rnacentral:tRNA from 1 species
GCCCAGGUAGCUCAGAUGGUAGAGCAGCGGACUGAAAAUCCGCGUGUCGGUGGUUCGAUUCCGCCCCUGGGCACCA